rnacentral:rRNA from 1 species
AUUGAACGCUGGCGGCAGGCUUAACACAUGCAAGUCGAACGGACUACUUCGGUAGUUAGUGGCGAACGGGUGAGUAAUGCCUAGGAAUCUGCCCAUUAGCGGGGGAUAACGUGUGGAAACGCACGCUAAUACCGCAUACGCCCUACGGGGGAAAGCAGGGGAUCUUCGGACCUUGCACUAAUGGAUGAGCCUAGGUCGGAUUAGCUAGUUGGUAGGGUAAAGGCCUACCAAGGCUACGAUCUGUAGCUGGUCUGAGAGGACGACCAGCCACACUGGAACUGAGACACGGUCCAGACUCCUACGGGAGGCAGCAGUGGGGAAUUUUGGACAAUGGACGCAAGUCUGAUCCAGCCAUUCCGCGUGCAGGAUGAAGGCCCUCGGGUUGUAAACUGCUUUUGUACGGAACGAAAAGGUUUGUCUUAAUACGAUGAGCUCAUGACGGUACCGUAAGAAUAAGCACCGGCUAACUACGUG